AGAGUUUGAUCCUGGCUCAGAUUGAACGCUGGCGGCAGGCCUAACACAUGCAAGUCGAGCGGAUGAAGGGAGCUUGCUCCUGGAUUCAGCGGCGGACGGGUGAGUAAUGCCUAGGAAUCUGCCUGGUAGUGGGGGAUAACGUCCGGAAACGGGCGCUAAUACCGCAUACGUCCUAAGGGAGAAAGUGGGGGAUCUUCGGACCUCACGCUAUCAGAUGAGCCUAGGUCGGAUUAGCUAGUUGGUGGGGUAAAGGCCUACCAAGGCGACGAUCCGUAACUGGUCUGAGAGGAUGAUCAGUCACACUGGAACUGAGACACGGUCUAGACUCCUACGGGAGGCAGCAGUGGGGAAUAUUGGACAAUGGGCGAAAGCCUGAUCCAGCCAUGCCGCGUGUGUGAAGAAGGUCUUCGGAUUGUAAAGCACUUUAAGUUGGGAGGAAGGGCAGUAAGUUAAUACCUUGCUGUUUUGACGUUACCAACAGAAUAAGCACCGGCUAACUUCGUGCCAGUAGCCGCGGUAAUACGAAGGGUGCAAGCGUUAAUCGGAAUUACUGGGCGUAAAGCGCGCGUAGGUGGUUCAGCAAGUUGGAUGUGAAAUCCCCGGGCUCAACCUGGGAACUGCAUCCAAAACUACUGAGCUAGAGUACGGUAGAGGGUGGUGGAAUUUCCUGUGUAGCGGUGAAAUGCGUAGAUAUAGGAAGGAACACCAGUGGCGAAGGCGACCACCUGGACUGAUACUGACACUGAGGUGCGAAAGCGUGGGGAGCAAACAGGAUUAGAUACCCUGGUAGUCCACGCCGUAAA
rnacentral:rRNA from 1 species